AGUGAACGCUGGCGGUAGGCCUAACACAUGCAAGUCGAACGGCAGCACAGAGGAGCUUGCUCCUUGGGUGGCGAGUGGCGGACGGGUGAGGAAUACAUCGGAAUCUACUCUGUCGUGGGGGAUAACGUAGGGAAACUUACGCUAAUACCGCAUACGACCUACGGGUGAAAGCAGGGGAUCUUCGGACCUUGCGCGAUUGAAUGAGCCGAUGUCGGAUUAGCUAGUUGGCGGGGUAAAGGCCCACCAAGGCGACGAUCCGUAGCUGGUCUGAGAGGAUGAUCAGCCACACGGGAACUGAGAGACGGUCCGGACUCCUACGGGGGGCAGCAGUGGGGAAUAUUGGACAAUGGGGGCAAGCCUGAUCCAGCCAUCCCGCGUGGGUGAAGAAGGCCUUCGGGUUGUAAAGCCCUUUUGUUGGGAAAGAAAUCCAGCUGGCUAAUACCCGGUUGGGAUGACGGUACCCAAAGAAUAAGCACCGGCUAACUUCGUGCCAGCAGCCGCCGCCG
rnacentral:rRNA from 1 species